GAGUUUGAUCGUGGCUCAGAUUGAACGCUGGCGGCAUGCCUUACACAUGCAAGUCGAACGGCAGCACGGGAGCUUGCUCCUGGUGGCGAGUGGCGAACGGGUGAGUAAUGCAUCGGAACGUAUCCUGGAGUGGGGGAUAACGUAGCGAAAGUUACGCUAAUACCGCAUAUUCUGUGAGCAGGAAAGCGGGGGACCUUCGGGCCUCGCGCUCUUGGAGCGGCCGAUGUCGGAUUAGCUAGUUGGUGAGGUAAAGGCUCACCAAGGCGACGAUCCGUAGCAGGUCUGAGAGGAUGAUCUGCCACACUGGAACUGAGGCACGGUCCAGACUCCUACGGGAGGCAGCAGUGGGGAAUUUUGGACAAUGGGGGCAACCCUGAUCCAGCCAUGCCGCGUGAGUGAAGAAGGCCUCGGUUGUAA
rnacentral:rRNA from 1 species